CUCAUAUUCAGGGUGGAAAAUGCAGUCACCCAUCUCUGGGAUCCUCCUCUUCUCUUUGAGCUCGGGAAGAGUGGGACUGGAGGCCUGGAGGGGCCAUGGCAGGUUCCAGGAGAAAUGGACCCUACUUCUGGGGCUCUAGCCUUGAAAUCAUGGCAGCAGCAAGACCCAACUGGGGCAGCAUCAUGUCUGGGUUUGAAUCCCGGUUCAGCCACUUUCCAGCUGUGUGAUGUGGGGCAAGUCAGGCUCAGAUCCCACCAGGACUGCAACCCUUAGCCCUGUCUGGUCUCCCCUGCAACCCUUGAGGCCACCCUGGAGGCUCAGCCAUCCAUUCACCCCAGAAACACUCUGUCUUCCUGCUUUGAGGACAGCUGAAGUCUUGCCACUUCUUCUGGAUGCUCUGACCAUCAGUAAGCCACCUCAGUCUCACCCUCCGCAGAAUGCAGGCCCACUCCGUUGCUGAAGGGCCUCCUCCUUGGGCCAGGGCGCCUGCUUCUGCCAGUGGCAUCAUCACCCCACUCCUCAGCCGCCAGUCAUCAGAGACACGGUCUGACUUUGUUACCCCGGCUGGAGUGCAGUGGUGCAAUCAUGGCUCACUGCAGCCUUAACCUCCUGGGCUCAAGUGAUCCUCUCGCCAAGGCUAGGAUAAGUAGCUAGGACUACAGAUGCGCCCCAUCACGCCCAGCUAAUUUUACAACUUCUGUAGAGAUGGAGUGUUGCUGGGUUGCCCAGGCUGGUCUUGAAUUCCUGGGCUCAAGCGAUCCUCCUGUGUCCGGAAUUGGUGGGUUCUUGGUCUCACUGACUUCAAGAAUGAAGCCGCGGACCCUCGCGAGUCUGUAUCCACCAGCUACUCUUCCAGAUUCAUGAGGCAAGGCCUGCCUGCUCACCUGGCUGGCCCCAAGCACCUCUUCAACCUGUUGCCACCGUCCUGCCUUGCUGCCCUUCUCAGCUCAUCCAGCAGGGUCUCCAAGUCGUGGAAACAGAAGCACAUAUACACACAUGCUCAUAUGUACAUGCCCACAGUCACAUAAGCACACCGAGAAACACCAUCGCAGACAUGUUCUCACAAGCACAUGUGCAUAACACUCACUACCCCUCACGCGUAUACACAUUAAUACACACACUCAUGCACACUCAGUCUUACACACACAGACACACAGCCAUAAUCACUGUUGUUGGUUGAAUUGUGCCCCCCCAUCCCCACCAAAAAGAUAAGUUGGAGUCCUAACCCCCAGUACCUGGGGAUGUGACCGUAGUUGGAAAUAGGGUGUUUGUAGAUGUAAUCAAAUUAAGAUGAGAUCUUACUGGAUUAGAGUGGGCCUUAAAUCCAGUGACUGGUGUCCUUAUAAGGAGAAAAAGAUUUGAAAACAGAGACAUGGAGACACAGAGCAGAAGGCCAUGUGAUGAUGGAGUCAGAGAUUGGAGUGAUGCAGCUAUGAGCCGAGAAAUACCAAGGUGCUGGCAGCCCCCAGAAGCAAGGAGAGAGGCAAGGAACAAUCUCCAUCAGAGCCUCUGGAAGAAACAGACUCUGCCAACACCUUGAUUUCAGACUUUUGGCCUCCUUCACUGUGCGAGAAUACGUUUCUGUUGUUUUAAACUACUGAGUCACCAAGUCUGUGGUACUGUGUUAUGGCAGCCCCGGCAACAAAUCCAAUCACACACACACACACACACACACACACACACACACACACACACACACACACAGCUGGCUCCAGGCUCAGUGAUGAGCUCAGAGGAGUUCCCCUUGGGAGCUGCUCUUUCUCUGUCUUCCUUCCUUAGUGAUUGGUCCAGUGGAUCCACAAAAGCUCAUGGCCCAGAGCAGGAGCCCAGUCAUUUUUAAUUCCUCUUCCCUGGAGUUCUUAACCAUGCGUUGCCCUCAAAAUCUGCUCUCAAGAUUUGGGUUGCCAUAUUUAGGAGCACCAGAAAACAUACAGGAAUGCUGUGUCUGCUUGCAUCAUAUUAAUUAAAAACUGGAAAUAACCUAAAUGUCCCAGAAUAGGUACAUAAACUGUGGCAUAUCCACUUAAUGGAAUACUACUCAGCAAUACAAAAGGAAAACCUAGUGUUACUUGAGCAACAUGGAUGAACUUCACAGACAUAAUAUUGCACAGCACGAGGCAGACACAAAAGUGUGCAUAUGCUAUGAUUCCAUUUACAUGAGAUUCAAGAACAGGCAAAGCAGAUCUAUGGGGAUAGAAGUCAGAAUAGUGGUUACCUCUGGAAGGUGGAAUUGACUGGGAGGGGCUUCAGGGAACCUCCUGGGGUGCUGAAAACAUUCUGUGCUUGCACCGGGUGGUGGUUAUGUGGGCAUUACAUAAAAUUCACCAAGCUGCACCCUUAAUGAUUUGUACAAUUUGAUGCACAAAUCUAACAUCUCAAGAAGAAUAAAUUUUACAAAGUACCUAAGAAGCAAAUGACCAGAA
rnacentral:lncRNA from 1 species